rnacentral:rRNA from 1 species
UACGUAGGUGGCAAGCGUUUGUCCGGAAUUAUUGGGCGUAAAGCGCGCGCAGGCGGUCUUUUAAGUCUGAUGUGAAAGCCCACGGCUCAACCGUGGAGGGUCAUUGGAAACUGGGGGACUUGAGUGCAGGAGAGAAGAGUGGAAUUCCACGUGUAGCGGUGAAAUGCGUAGAGAUGUGGAGGAACACCAGUGGCGAAGGCGACUCACUGGACCAUAACCGACGCUGAGGCGCGAAAGCUAGGGGAGCAAACAGG